rnacentral:rRNA from 1 species
GAUGAACGCUGGCGGCGUGCCUAAUACAUGCAAGUCGAGCGAACAGACGAGGAGCUUGCUCCUCUGACGUUAGCGGCGGACGGGUGAGUAACACGUGGAUAACCUACCUAUAAGACUGGGAUAACUUCGGGAAACCGGAGCUAAUACCGGAUAAUAUAUUGAACCGCAUGGUUCAAUAGUGAAAGACGGUUUUGCUGUCACUUAUAGAUGGAUCCGCGCCGCAUUAGCUAGUUGGUAAGGUAACGGCUUACCAAGGCAACGAUGUGUAGCCGACCUGAGAGGGUGAUCGGCCACACUGGAACUGAGACACGGUCCAGACUCCUACGGGAGGCAGCAGUAGGGAAUCUUCCGCAAUGGGCGAAAGCCUGACGGAGCAACGCCGCGCGAGUGAUGAAGGUCUUCGGAUCGUAAAACUCUGUUAUUAGGGAAGAACAAAUGUGUAAGUAACUAUGCACGUCUUGACGGUACCUAAUCAGAAAGCCACGGCUAACUACGUG